UUGGUUCUUCAUAUUUUCUCCUUUCUUUGACAAUUUGAUCUCGCCACAUCAAGGCAUAUUGCGUAAAUUCAAGGUCAGUAACCUGCACUUUUUGAACAUUAGUAUAAGUGUUACAGGCAAAAAAAAAUUCAAUUUUUGUUUCUUACUCUUAAUAAGUAUCUAGAUCAUUUUUUCCUAGAAAGGUUGGCACUUUAAUUUUUAUAUCACUCAAUUUUU
rnacentral:lncRNA from 1 species